UGAUGCAUCUACAAACCAUGGAGCACCAAGGAUUGCCAAGGCAACCGCCAGAAGCCAGGACAGAAGCAACUGAUUCUCCCUCAGAGCCUCCAGAAGAAAACAGCCUUGCUGACACCUGACUUCAUACUUCUGGCCUCCAGAACUAUAUAUCUACGAAAGGAAGAAAUGCCAGAAACUGUGGCAGCCAUCUCGAGACCUGGAACUCCAAGGCCUGAGAACCAAUAUCCUGAGGAUGGUAAUACAGAAAGACGGUGUGAAAGAUGUAUCCACUGAGAAGUGCUGUGUGCAGACCUUCUGGCUGAGAGUGUGUCAAGUAUUCAAGAAAGGUAAGUUCCCUUCCAUUCCUGCCUUCUUUUUGAAUGACUAUGCCAGGCAGAGGAGACAGAGGCAAGAUCGCUGUGAGCAAGGACUUAAACUGAGACUUGAAUUCAAAUCUGGAAUCUGCCACACGCUAGCUAUGUGGCUGCAGGCAAGUGACUCAAUUUCUCAGAGCCUUGGUUUCUUCAUCUAGAAAACAGGACAAAAAAUAGCGAUUUCUUACUGUGAUUGUUGGGCUCCGUUGAGGUGUUUGAUGUGCCUAUUCCCUGCGCGUAGAGAGUACGCAAUAAACUGUAACUACUGUUAUUGACAACUAA